rnacentral:rRNA from 1 species
GACGAACGCUGGCGGCGUGCUUAACACAUGCAAGUCGAACGAAGUGGCGAACGGGUGAGUAACGCGUAAUCAACCUGCUCUUCAGAGGGGGACAACAGUUGGAAACGACUGUUAAUCCCGCAUACUGAAGGAGGGGAUUGCGUCUGAUCAGCUAGUGGGGGGGGUAACGGCCCACCAAUGCGAUGAUCAGUAGCCGGUCUGGGGAGAUGGACGGCCAAAUUGGGAAUGAGACACGGCCCAGAAUCCUACGGGGGGCAGCAGUGGGGAAACUUGCGAAAUGGAGGAAAGUCUGACGGAGCAACGCCGCGUGAGUGAAGACGGCCUUCGGGUUGUAAAACUCUGUUAAUCGGGACGCGGUACCGGAAUAGAAAGCCACGGCUAACUACGUGCCAGCAGCCGCGGUAAUUC